rnacentral:rRNA from 1 species
AAUAAGCGGAGGAAAAGAAACCAACAGGGAUUGCCCUAGUAACGGCGAGUGAAGCGGCAACAGCUCAAAUUUGAAAUCUGGCCUCGGCCCGAGUUGUAAUUUGCAGAGGAUGCUUCUGGCGCGGUGCCUUCCGAGUUCCCUGGAACGGGACGCCACAGAGGGUGAGAGCCCCGUAUGGUCGGACACCAAGCCUGUGUGAAGCUCCUUCGACGAGUCGAGUAGUUUGGGAAUGCUGCUCUAAAUGGGAGGUAAAUCUCUUCUAAAGCUAAAUACCGGCCAGAGACCGAUAGCGCACAAGUAGAGUGAUCGAAAGAUGAAAAGCACCUUGAAAAGGGGGUUAAAUAGUACGUGAAAUUGUUGAAAGGGAAGCACUUAUGACCAGACUUGGGCCGGGCGGCUCAUCAGGGGUUCUCCCCUGUGCACUCCGCCCGGCACAGGCCAGCAUCGGUUUUCGCGGGGGGAUAAGACCGGCGGGAACGUAGCACCCUCCGGGGUGUGUUAUAGCCCGUCGGACGAUACCCUCGCGGGGACCGAGGUCCGCGCUCCGCAAGGAUGCUGGCGUAAUGGUCAUCAGUGACCCGUCUUGAAACACGGACCAAGGAGUCGUCCAUUAGAGCGAGCGUUUGGGUGCAAAACCCGCACGCGUAAUGAAAGUGAACGCAGGUGAGAGCUUCGGCGCAUCAUCGACCGAUCCUGAUGUUCUCGGAAGGAUUUGAGUAAGAGUUUUAACGGACGGACCCGAAAGACAGUGAACUAUGCUUGUAUAGGGUGAAGCCAGAGGAAACUCUGGUGGAGGCUCGCAGCGGUUCUGACGUGCAAAUCGAUCGUCAAAUAUGAGCAUGGGGGCGAAAGACUAAUCGA